UAACUGAUGUAAAAUGUAGAGUAGAAGCCGU
rnacentral:piRNA from 1 species